CGGUGCCAGUCAGCUAAAUGUGGGUCCACCACUGGUCGGUCAUAUGUGUUAAUCGAAAUCAAAUGUAAUGCGUUUUCCUCUGAGUAAACCAUCCAAGUCAACUUGAAAUGUUAUCUUCUGCAUGCACUUGUGCAGACUGCAUCCUCUGAGUAAACCAUCCAAGUUACCUUGAAAUGUUAUCUUCUGCAUGCACUCCUGCAGACUGCAGUCUCUGAGCGUAUCAAAAUAAGAAAAUAUCAUCUGUGAUCAUUAUCUUUCUGCCCCUCCCCCCGCCCAAGGGGAGACCUAGACAAUCGAGCUACGCACCAUCACCG
rnacentral:lncRNA from 1 species